rnacentral:rRNA from 1 species
AUUGAACGCUGGCGGCAGGCUUAACACAUGCAAGUCGAGCGAGCGGCGGACGGGUGAGUAAUGUCUGGGAAACUGCAUGAUGGAGGGGGAUAACUACUGGAAACGGUAGCUAAUACCGCAUACCAUCAGAUGUGCCCAGAUGGGAUUAGCUAGUAGGUGGGGUAAUGGCUCACCUAGGCGACGAUCCCUAGCUGGUCUGAGAGGAUGACCGGCAAAAUUGGAACUGGGACCCGGUCCAGGCUCCGACGGGAGGCAGCGGGGGUGAAUAUUGCACAAUGGGCGCAAGCCUGAUGCAGCCAUGCCGCGUGUGUGAAGAAGGCCUUCGGGUGGUAAGGCACUUUCAGCGAGAAGGCGUUACUCGCAGAAGAAGCACCGGCUAACUCCGUGCCAGCAGCCGCGGUAAUAC